rnacentral:rRNA from 1 species
UACGUAGGGGCUAGCGUUGUCCGGAAUCAUUGGGCGUAAAGAGCGCGUAGGCGGCCCGGUAAGUCCGCUGUAAAAGUCAAAGGCUCAACCUUUGAAUGUCAGUGGAUACUGCCGGGCUAGAGUCCGGAAGAGGCGAGUGGAAUUCCUGGUGUAGCGGUGGAAUGCGCAGAUAUCAGGAGGAACACCGGUGGCGAAGGCGGAUCUCUGGGCCGAUUACUGACGCUGAGGAGCGAAAGCGUGGGGAGCGAACAGG